UGGGGAAUCUUCCGCAAUGGACGAAAGUCUGACGGAGCAACGCCGCGUGAGUGAAGAAGGUUUUCGGAUCGUAAAACUCUGUCUUUUGGGGCGAACGUGAGUAUGGUGAACAAUCAUAGUCAGUGACGGUACCAAAGGAGGAAGCCACGGCUAACUACGUGCCAGCAGCCGCGGUAAUACGUAGGUGGCAAGCGUUGUCCGGAAUUAUUGGGCGUAAAGAGCGCGUAGGCGGGAUAGUCAGUCUGUUGUAAAGUGCGGGGCUCAACCCCGUGAUCGCAAUGGAAACAGCUAUUCUUGAGUGCAGGAGAGGAAAGUGGAAUUCCCAGUGUAGCGGUGAAAUGCGUAGAUAUUGGGAGGAACACCAGUGGCGAAGGCGACUUUCUGGACUGUGUCUGACGCUGAGGCGCGAAAGCCAGGGGAGCGAACGGGAUUAGAUACCCCGGUAGUCCUGGCCGUAAACGAUGGGUACUAGGUGUGGGAGGUAUCGACCCCUUCCGUGCCGGAGUUAACGCAAUAAGUACCCCGCCUGGGGAGUCGGUCGCAAGACUGAAACUCAAAGGAAUUGACGGGGUCAUAGCUGUUUCCUG
rnacentral:rRNA from 1 species